rnacentral:rRNA from 1 species
GACGAACGCUGGCGGCGUGCUUAACACAUGCAAGUCGAACGGAAAGGCCCUGCUUGCAGGGUGCUCGAGUGGCGAACGGGUGAGUAACACGUGGGUGAUCUGCCCCUUACUUUGGGAUAAGCCUGGGAAACUGGGUCUAAUACUGGAUAGGACCAUGCUGUAGGUGGUGUGGUGGAAAGAUUAGUUUCGGUAAGGGAUGAGCUCGCGGCCUAUCAGCUUGUUGGUGGGGUAAUGGCCUACCAAGGCGUCGACGGGUAGCCGGCCUGAGAGGGUGGACGGCCACAUUGGGACUGAGAUACGGCCCAGACUCCUACGGGAGGCAGCAGUGGGGAAUAUUGCACAAUGGGCGCAAGCCUGAUGCAGCGACGACGCGUGGGGGAUGACGGCCUUCGGGUUGUAAACUCCUUUCAGCCAUGACGAAGCCCUUGUGGUGACGGUAGUGGUAGAAGAAGCACCGGCUAACUACGUG